rnacentral:rRNA from 1 species
CCUACGGGAGGCAGCAGUGGGGAAUUUUGGACAAUGGGCGCAAGCCUGAUCCAGCAAUGCCGCGUGAGUGAAGAAGGCCUUCGGGUUGUAAAGCUCUUUUGUCAGGGAAGAAACGGCUGAGGCUAAUAUCCUCGGCUAAUGACGGUACCUGAAGAAUAAGCACCGGCUAACUACGUGCCAGCAGCCGCGGUAAUACGUAGGGUGCAAGCGUUAAUCGGAAUUACUGGGCGUAAAGCGUGCGCAGGCGGUUUUGUAAGUCUGUCGUGAAAGCCCCGGGCUUAACCUGGGAAUUGCGAUGGAGACUGCAAGGCUUGAAUCUGGCAGAGGGGGGUAGAAUUCCACGUGUAGCAGUGAAAUGCGUAGAGAUGUGGAGGAACACCGAUGGCGAAGGCAGCCCCCUGGGUCAAGAUUGACGCUCAUGCACGAAAGCGUGGGGAGCAAACAGGAUUAGAUACCCUGGUAGUCCACGCCCUAAACGAUGUCUACUAGUUGUCGGGUUCUUAAUUGACUUGGUAACGCAGCUAACGCGUGAAGUAGACCGCCUGGGGAGUCGGUCGCAAGNUUAAAACUCAAAGGAUUGACGGCUGAGAGNGCGAGCGACGACGAGGGAGGAGG